rnacentral:lncRNA from 1 species
CUCCCUCGUCCGCAGCAUCGGCUCCCGCUUCCGUCGUGUCCUCCGAAACCUCGAUGGGUUCCCAAAGCUCUCCGAUCCUCCCCUUGAUUGGAGGAACCAUCGACCCGGCCUGGGCGCACCCAUCCAUGAGGCCCGACAUCUCAACAACCUCGGAGAGAAAAGAGAAAUUAGCGUUCUGCGACUUCCAAAGGGUACCAACCGAACCGCGGCAUUCGCAGAAGUCACCCACGUAGUCUUGAGCGUCCUUGAAGCUCCUGAACUCAGCAUCAAACAAUGUAGCUCUCCUCGCUAACUCAGCAGCAAUCUCCCUCCUCCCUUUCCUCUCCGAACGAAUGAGAGCUCGGGAGUGGGACUCAGCCUGUCUGCGCUCUCUUUCCGCAACCUCGUUCUGAAAACGGAUGAACUUCCUCUCGAUCUCUUC